CAGAAUUCUCAUCCUUCAAUCAAGAGGAUCUUCUUAUCUAAGGACCCAGUGUUGACAAGAUCAGCAAGAAUUGUGGCCAGAGAUGCUAGGAGUUGAACAGGGGCUAUGGAGGCUUUCCUCAAAGAGCAGUUGCACGGAAUGUAGUUUUAUUGAUCCUUAUCCUCAUUACCCUCAAGCCAUGAAGGAAGGAAUUUUGAGUAAGGGCAAGGCCAUUUUACCACUAAACAUAUUUCAACUCCAAUGAAAGAAAC
rnacentral:lncRNA from 1 species